AAAUCCAUUAAAGAAAUACAUUGGUUUGGUCCAGAAAGGUGGGAUAACUCAAAGCGGGGCUUCCAGGCUACAGGUGAAUGUAAACAUUUUCCGGUUGAUGAUUGGUUGAGUUUAUCUGAGGACGUGGGGU